rnacentral:lncRNA from 1 species
ACCACUCCAACUGUAACGACCCAAAAUUUUUUUCUUUAGAAAAACAGUAAUAAAUAAAACGUUGUCUAAAUAAAAGAAACAUUGUUUGUUCACACCAUAACACAUUGCAACCAUGUUCUCAAAAGCCAAACCGUACAUCCCACCAAAAUAUCAGAGUACAAUCCCAGUAAUCUCAUAAAUGCGGAAACCGAAGAGUGUGUGUAUGACGUGCCGCUACCGCGUCGGCUCCUUCCCCUUCGAUGCAGAGGUACCUGAAAACAAAACUGAAAACGUAAGCACAAAGCUUAGUGAGUUCCCCCAACGUACCGCAUACCAUACAAAACACAUAACAUAUAUACUGCCAGGCUAUUCUGGGGUGCCUGACUACCCGGUACGGCCAUUCUGGGGUGCCGACCUACCCAUACGGCCAUUCUGGGGUGCCGUCUUACCCGUGUCAAGCCAUUCUGGGGUGCUGACUACCCAUCGGUCCUAACAACCGAUCCUCGGGGACUAUUUCACCCCUACUACUACGAUCACGUAUAACAUAACAAGCCAGCAUGCAUACAUAUCGUCACAUACUGUCAGACGUAUCUGGGGUGUCUGACUACCCUUCGGUCCGAACAACCAGACUCUACUACUAUCACAUACAGCAUAUCAUGCUAGCAUAUAACAUGUCAGGUACUAGCGAACUUAGAUGAUAUCACAAAGACAAUCAUCUAUCAUACAACUCCUACUGGUGGGUCGGCAUUGUGGCCUUAGACCCACCGCUACUGGAAGGUAACUCACCUCGAAGUAGCUGCUGAACUGAUCGGGAACUAACUGACUGCUGCUGCUCCGGGAGUCCUCCGGCUGCAAUUUCCACGACAUACUCAAUCAAACACUGCUAACUGUCCUUUAGGUAAAAUGACCAUUUUACCCCUGGAUUAACUCUAAGCCAAAGCUGGAGUCAACUUUCAGUUGACCCGACUCGCCGAGUGGAUCACCACUCGCCGAGUCCCUAGCAAACCAAUGUCCUGGGUCCCUGGUUCUACUCGUCGAGUCGGGCUAUGACUCGACGAGUUCACCUUCUAACUGCCAUUCAACACCUUCAUCCUACUCGCCGAGUUGUAUGAACAACUCGUCGAGUUCAUCUUCAUCCGAUGAACACUUUAUGCUAAGACUCGCCGAGUUGUAUGAACAACUCGCCGAGUCUGUUCUUGAGCUAUGAAGAUUGCCUUGGACUCGCCGAGUCAGGGCAUUGACUCGCCGAGUCCUAACAUGGGUGAGUUCAGCUCCCAACUCACCGAGUCACCCCCUGUGACUCAAGGCUCAACUCGACACAUGAAGAAGGGACCAAUUCGGUGACUCGCGACCAGACUCGCCGAGUCACCUAUGCGACUCGCCGAGUCGUCGCCAUGCACUCCUUAAAUAUACCGAUUUGCUCGGUUCCAGACCAUGCCAUUCAUAGAUCUGGACUUCUAGGACACGAAUCACACGUAAAGUUUCCAACUUUACGUGUGGAUAUUCACCAAUAUGGAUUAUAAGGCUCAAAAUGUCUCAAAAUGGUAGAUCUAGGGCUAACAAGCCUCAUGAGGCCAAAAAGCUAACAGAUCUGAGCUCCUGGAGCUCAAUCUUACAUAGAUCCAAAGGCCAAACGCCUUAUUACAACAUAUAAUGAACAUGCAAACUUGGGGAAUUGACCAAGAAGGACCCAAAUGAAGUUUUAAGCAUAGAAUCAAGGGGAAAACGGGUUAUACCUCAAAGGAAAUGUUGAAAUGACACAAGGAUGGCUGAUCUCCUUCUCCUCUUCUUGAUCUACUCCUCUUACUCUUCAAAACCUUCAAGAACACACCAAGAACACCUCAAACUCUCAAGAAAACAAGGGAAAACGAUGUAGGGGGAGUUCUGGGGGUGAAUGGGGACGAGUUGGGGCGGAAUGAGAGUUUAAAUAGGGUGCAAACCCUUGAAACUUAGGGUUUCAUCCCGCAGCGGUGACUCGCCGAGUCCAGGAUAUGGACUCGUCGAGUCGCCUACUUAAAACGCGUCCUGAGUCUCGUCCCUACUCGGCGAGUCGGACCCUAUGACUCGCCGAGUCUAAGGCUAAAUUAGGGCAAUGCUCAAAUAAAAUUCACAUACCGGAAACCAGGUGCUACACAUCUCCCCCACUUAUUUUAGACUUCGUCCUCGAAGUCUGCUGCCUGAUCCUGAAACAGCUCGGGGUAGUGCUCCAUCAUCUCGUCUACCGGCUCCCAAGUCCACUCUGAACCCUUGCGGUGCUGCCAUUGCACCUUCACUAGCUCCACCCUCUUGUUCCUUAAAUCCUUCGACUUCCUGUCGAGGAUUGCGACUGGGCGCUCGAUGUAGUUCAGGCUGUCAUCAACCUGAAUAUCCUCCAAAGGUACUACUGCAGAAUCGUCCACUAGGCACUUCCGCAACUGCGAAACAUGGAAAGUGCUGUGGAUCUGGCUAAGCUCGGCUGGCAGAUCCAGCCUAUAUGCUACCUUGCCCACCCGGGCUAAGACCCUGAACGGUCCGAUGAAUCGCGGGCCCAACUUGCCCCGCUUCCUGAAUCGGAUGACGCCUUUCCACGGCGACACCUUCAGGAGGACCAUAUCCCCGACCUGGAACUCUAAAUCGGAUCGACGCUUGUCGGCAUAACUUUUCUGUCGACUCUGAGCAGUCUGAAGCCUGCUCCGGACCUGCUGUAUCCUCUCAGUCGUCUUGAGCACCACUUCGGUGCUUCCCAUAACUCUCUGGCCAACCUCACCCCAGCAUAUCGGGGUCCUACACCUCCGUCCGUACAACAUCUCGAAGGGAGGGCGGUCGAUACUCGCGUGAUAGCUGUUGUUGUAGGAGAACUCAGCCAAAGGAAGAUAGGUAUCCCAGCUACCACCGAAAUCCAGAACACACGCCCGCAACAUGUCCUCCAAAGUCUGGAUGGUCCGCUCACUCUGUCCAUCUGUCUGCGGGUGAAAGGCGGUGCUGAAAUGCAGACGAGUGCCCAACUCGUCAUGGAAUCUCUUCCAAAACCUGGAAGUAAAACGCACAUCCCUGUCCGAGAUCACCGAUACUGGCACCCCAUGCCGUGCCACAAUCUCCCUGAUAUAGAUGUCGGCCAAUUUCUCGGCCGAUAUGCUCUCCGGAAUCGGAAUAAAGUGAGCACUCUUGGUCAAUCUAUCCACGAUGACCCAAAUCGAAUCCACUCCACGCGCGGUCCUGGGAAGCUUCGUGAUAAAAUCCAUCGUGAUAUCUUCCCACUUCCACAGUGGAAUGUCCAACGGCUGCAUCUUGCCAUGCGGCCUCUGAUGUUCGGCCUUGACCUUCCUGCAGGUCAAGCACCGCUCGACGUACCAUGCCACAUCCCGCUUCAUGCAGGGCCACCAAUAGUCUAGACGAAGAUCCCUAUACAUCUUCGUCGCCCCGGGAUGAAUAGAGAAUCGGGACUUGUGCGCCUCCUCCAUCAAAAUCUGGCGCACGCCCCCGUGAUACGGCACCCACACCCUAUGGUGUAGUGUCAAUAACCCUCGGCUAUCAUAAUCGAAGGAGGAAACCUGACCUACUACGCGCUCGUUCUUCCGAUGCUCCUCCUUGAUAGCCUCCUGUUGAGCUUCCCGAAUCUGCUCCAACAGGGGAGUCACCACAGUCAUCCUCAAACAGGCGUCCCUGAUCGGCGCCGUCUUGCGGCUAAGCGCAUCGGCCACCACAUUGGCCUUUCCCGGGUGGUAAAGGAUCUCGCAAUCAUAAUCCUUCACCACAUCCAACCACCGACGCUGCCUCAUGUUCAGAUUCGGCUGGUCCAUGAGGUACCUCAAGCUCUUGUGGUCCGUGUAGAUGGUACACCGAACCCCAUAGAGGUAAUGUCGCCAAAUCUUGAGGGCAAAUACCACCGCCCCCAACUCCAAAUCGUGCGUCGGGUAGUUCGCCUCGUGAGGCUUGAGCUGCCUCGAAGCGUAAGCAAUGACAUGCCCCCUUUGCAUCAGCACCGCGCCCAACCCAGAAAUGGACGCAUCGCAAUAAACCACGAAAUCCUCUACGCCCUCUGGCAGGGCUAAGAUCGGCGCCUCACACAAUCUCUGUCUCAGCGUCUCAAAUGCAGCCUGCUGCUCGGGUCCCCACCGAAAGACCACGGCUUUCUUCGUCAGCCGCGUCAGGGGCACGGCUAUCUUGGAGAAAUCCUGGAUAAAUCUCCGAUAGUAGCCUGCCAAUCCUAGGAAGCUCCGAAUCUCAGAUGGGGACUUCGGAACCUCCCAUCUCAUCACGGCCUCGACCUUGGCCGGAUCGACCAGAAUCCCGUUCUGGUUGACGAGGUGCCCCAGAAAUUGCACCUCGCGCAACCAAAACUCACACUUGGAGAACUUGGCAUACAAGCUCUCCCUCCUCAGGGUCUCUAACACCUCUCUCAAAUGCUCCUCAUGUUCCUCCCGGGUCUUGGAAUAAACCAAGAUAUCAUCGAUAAAGACUAUCACAGACCGGUCCAGCAUCGGUCUGCAUACACGGUUCAUGAGGUCCAUGAACGCGGCAGGAGCAUUGGUGAGCCCAAACGGCAUCACCACAAACUCGUAAUGGCCAUAGCGCGUCCGAAACGCGGUCUUCUGCAUAUCCUCCUCCCUGACCCUCAUCUGAUGAUAACCCGAACGCAAAUCAAUCUUGGAGAACCAAGAUGCGCCCUGAAGCUGGUCAAAGAGGUCAUCAAUCCUCGGAAGCGGGUAACGGUUCUUCACCGUUACCUUGUUCAGCUCCCGAUAAUCUAUACACAUCCGAUGCGACCCAUCCUUCUUCUUCACAAACAGAAUCGGGGCUCCCCAGGGCGAACUGCUCGGCCGAAUAAAUCCCUUGUCCAGCAGCUCCUGCAGCUGCGUAGACAACUCCUGCAUCUCGGGAGGAGCCAACCGAUACGGUGCUUUGGCUAUCGGAGCCGCACCGGGAACGAGGUCAAUCCUGAACUCCACCUGUCGCUCCGGAGGUAUCCCAGGUAGUUCCUCCGGAAAAACAUCAGCAAAAUCUCGAACCACCGGGACCUCGCUCACGGUCGCCUUACCCGCCUCCCGGGUGUCCAUCACGUACGCGACAUAACCCGCGCAUCCCUGCUGAAGGUAGCGCCUAGCCCUCGCUGCUGAACAUACAGUGGGUCCACACUGCGGCCGCUCUCCAUGAAUCACUAACUCUCCCCCGCUUGGGGUCUUGACUCGCACUAGCUGCUGUGCGCAAUCUAUCACUGCCCCAUUAGGGCUCAACCAAUCCAUACCAAUAAUCACCUUGUUCCCACGCAAUGGAAUGGGAACCAAGUCUACCAGGUAACACUCCUCAAACAGUCGCAGGACACAAUCUCGAAACACCAUCGAUGCUCGCACCGAUCGAUCAUCGGCAAUCUCUACCUCUAACGGGCAAUCUAACUCGCCUGAAGUCUCAUGAAAUCUCUUGCUAAGAGCAAGAGAAACGAACGAUCGGGAUGCACCCGAGUCGAACAAUACCUGAACCGGGAUGCCGUUCACAUGGAACGAUCCUAAUACACAUGUAUACACACGGAGCACAUAUCAAUAUCAUAACAACGUAAAAUAAAAGAUAGAAGGAAGGAAUCAUACCCGUCACCACAUCGGGCGCGGCGCGUGCCUCCUCGGCAGUCAACUGAAAUGCCCGACUCCUCACCACUGGAGCCUCUGCCUUGCCCUGACGGCCAUCCGUGAUCCGCAGGGUCGCUGGAGCUGGCGCCUUCACUGGCGCUGAAGCUGUCAACAUGGGGCAAUUGGCCUUCUUGUGGCCCCUCUGGUUGCAGUGGAAACACAGCAACUCCGAUGUCUGAAUAACGGUCGCAGGAGCAGUGCAAUCCCUGCUGAUAUGCCCAAACUUGCCGCACUUGUAGCAGCCUGACGAUCCCAUCCUGCACGCCCCCUCGUGCGGCCUGCCGCACCUCCUGCAGCGGCUCGGUCCCGACUGGCCUUUCGGCCUCCCAUCUGAUCCCUUGGGCUUCUUCCCCGAAGCCCCCGAUGACUGACCAUCCUCAAGUUUCCGUUUCCGGAUGUGCUCCAAAUCUAUCUCUCUCUCCCUAGCCCUGGCAAUCAUGGAGUCCAGGGUAGGGCAAGCCGAAAAGCUAACAUGCUCCCGAAUGUCAGCUCGUAGCAUGUCGUGGUAACGAGUCCUCCUCAUAUCCUCGUCACCUGCAUACUGGGGCACCAAUAAAGCCCUCUCCCGAAACUUGGCGGUGAUCUCCGCCACGGUCUCUGUCGUCUGCCUCAUGUCUAAGAACUCCCUGGCCAGCUGCUGAAGCUCGACCGCUGGCGCAAACUCUGCCCUGAACCUAGUCACAAAGUCCGACCAGGUCAUUGCCUCGACAGCCGAGGCUCCCAUCGAGUCACCCACUGACUCCCACCAAUCUCGGGCCCGGUCCCGUAAACACCCUGCUGCGUACCUCACCUUCGACCCCUCGGGGCAGAAGCUGAUCAACUGGGCGGACUCGAUAUCCGCAAUCCACCGCCUGGCGACAAUGGGGUCCUUCACCCCAUGGAAAUCCGGCGCACCACUGCUCCUGAAGUCCUUGAAGGACAGUGUGCGAGAUCCUGACUGGCUAGAGGCCAAGUCGCUCCUGAAUGCCCGUAGGCGAUCCUCCAUCAUCUCCACGAUCCCUUCCUUGAUCGACCCAAAGAUGAUGGGGGUCGACUCAAGGAUGCCCCUAGUGAUCUCCGACGUGAUGAACUCACGUAGCCUCUCCUCAAUCGGCUCGGUGCCAGAUCCCGAACCUGACCCCUCUCCUGACCCGCCAUCUGUCGGUCUCGGUCGAAGUACCACCAUUCUGCAAAACAUCAAUAAUAAUCAUUAGUGGUACUGCUACUUUCUGAGGGAUCUCAACUACUUACAGGUUCCUUGGUCUCGUCUUGGCCUUCCUCGGCUCGGGUACGGAUCCUCUGCUUUCAGUAGUACGGGCCCAUACUACCUUCCACAUCUAUCCGUACCUUCUCCGAGGAAUUCCUCGACUCCACCAACUCCCCUCUACUACUGCUACUCUCCGAUAUUCUCACCCUAGGCUUGCCCUAGGGAGAACUCAAGUUCAACACAACUGGUCCUCAGCUGCUGUAGGUCUCCUCAUAAUGCCAGUUAGCCACCACCUAAACACCAUCACAUGUAAUGAGGAUUAGAUAAUCCUUCAAGUAAAAGAUCCGUCCCUACAACGGUUGGACUCAAACAAGAGCUGCGCAAUAGGGCCAGUUCCAACACUUUGGGAUUAUUCAACCCUGAUUACAUGUGGUGUGACGUGUUUACCUAGUGGCUCACUCCCAUUACUCAGAAUCCCACCGAGCACGAAGCAAGCAGCAUUCGGAUAAGGAAAAACAGACUCAAGCCAAAACUGUUCUUAGAACAAGAAACGACACUUAACAUAGGAUGCUAAGCUCAUACUAUCAGGCAUAACCUAAACAGGCUACCCUACUGCUGUCUACUCAAUUCUAGCAUGCAAUAUUCAAUAAGCUGGAACAAAUAAACAGGCACAUAAGGCAUCACUCCUAGAUCCUUAGCCUAUUCUAGCAUGCAAUAUUCAUAAAGCUGAUAAACAUAACAUAAACUUGUAUGGGUACUAUGGGGAAUACUUACUUGAGCUCGGCCGGUCGCGCACGUCACACACUUUACUCUUUCUCGUGACUCUUUUCCGGGUUUUAAAGAAUAAUUUCUUUUGGAAAAAUCUUUCAAUCCCUCGGUUUGAGUCCAAACACUCCCGAAGGCGUGUCCGAAUCCCUCAAACCAGGGCUCUGAUACCAACUUGUAACGACCCAAAUUUUAUUUUUUUUUUUUUUUGAUAUUACUUUAGAAAACAUUAAUAAAUAAAAACAUUGUCUAAAUAAAAAGAAACAUUGUUUGUUCACACCAUAACACAUUGCAACCAUGUUCUCAAAAGCCAAACCGUACAUCCCAUCAAAUAUCAGAGUACAAUCCCAGUAAAUCUCAUAAAUGCGGAAACCGAAGAGUGUGUGUAUGACGUGCCGCUACCGCGCCGGCUCCUUCCCCUUCGAUGCAGAGGUACCUGAAAACAAAACUGUAAACGUAAGCACAAAGCUUAGUGAGUUCCCCCAACGUACCGCAUACCAUACAAACACAUAACAUAUAUACUGCCAGGCUAUUCUGGGGUGCCUGACUACCCGGUACGGCCAUUCUGGGGUGCCGACCUACCCAUACGGCCAUUCUGGGGUGCCGUCUUACCCGUGUCAAGCCAUUCUGGGGUGCUGACUACCCAUCGGUCCUAACAACCGAUCCUCGGGGACUAUUUCACCCCUACUACUACGAUCACAUAUAACAUAACAAGCCAGCAUGCAUACAUAUCGUCACAUACUGUCAGACGUAUCUGGGGUGUCUGACUACCCUUCGGUCCGAACAACCAAACUCUACUACUAUCACAUACAGCAUAUCAUGCUAGCAUAUAACAUGUCAGGUACUAGCGAACUUAGAUGAUAUCACAAAGACAAUCAUCUAUCAUACAACUCCUACUGGUGGGUCGGCAUUGUGGCCUUAGACCCACCGCUACUGGAAGGUAACUCACCUCAAAGUAGCUGCUGAACUGAUCGGGAACUAACUGACUGCUGCUGCUCCGGGAGUCCUCCGGCUGCAAUUUCCACGACAUACUCAAUCAAACACUGCUAACUGUCCUUUAGGUAAAAUGACCAUUUUACCCCUGGAUUAACUCUAAGCCAAAGCUGGAGUCAACUUUCAGUUGACCCGACUCGCCGAGUGGAUCACCACUCGCCGAGUCCCUAGCAAACCAAUGUCCUGGGUCCCUGGUUCUACUCGUCGAGUCGGGCUAUGACUCGAC